CCCAGCCCCUGAAUCUAAACUUUAUUAUAGUAACCAUAACAUCUUAUGGGUACUAAGACUUUUUCAGGGUCUUGUGUCAUUUAUGUCAAAAUUUGUACUUGUGUGUGUAUUGUCAUUUUUUAGAACUUAAUUAUUUUUUUGUCACUCAUUUGCUUUGAGGUCUGAUUUGUAUUUAAAGCCAAUUUUCUUUUGUAGGCUUCAUGAACAGUUGACUGAGUCCGAACAGGCUGCCCAGUGUUAUAUCAAAUAUAUCCAAGAUAUCUAUUCCUGUGGGGUAUGUGUCAUAACAUGAGAGUUGUGUUGCCAAUCUUAUUCUUACCAUCUCAGACAUUUCUGCUUUCCUUGUCUAGGAAAUAGUGGAACAUUUGGAGGAAAGCACUGCUUUCCGCUAUUUGGCCCAGUACUAUUUUAAGUGCAAGCUGUGGGAUGAAGCUUCAACUUGUGCCCAAAAGUGUUGUGCAUUCAAUGAUGUAUGUAUCAGUUCUUUCGUAAAGGGUUUGGAUUUGAGGCUAGAAUGUAUGAUCAUUACCAUGAUGUAUAGGUGGAAAGUGGGUAUGAAUAUCAGUGGAAAGCCUUUGAUCUGUGGAACUUGUAUAUCAUCGUUGUCUUAAUAACCUGUUUUUGAGAAUAGCCUUGAAUAUAUUUUGAAACAGUUGCCUGACUUUCUUUCAGACCCGGGAAGAAGGUAAAGCCUUGCUCCGGCAAAUCUUGCAGCUGCGGAACCAAGGGGAAACUCCCACGGGCGAGAUGCCUGCUCCCUUUUUUCUCCCUGCUUCAUUGUCUGCUAAUAACACCCCCACACGCAGAGUUUCUCCACUCAACUUGUCUUCUGUCACACCAUAGUUGGCUACUUUCAAGUUAGCACUUUGCUAGACCCAUAUUAAGCCUUACCUUCAUGUAAAGAAUGGCCAUGUCUGUCCUUCCAAGGACUGCAGCUCUUUUUGUUUCUACAGAUGGAAAUAGCUUCUUGGGGACAGUUUAUAUAAUUACCUUCAGAGGCAGAUAGAAGAAUACUGGCAGAAACAGAUUCUGUCUUUUGCCAGUUAGAAGCACUUCUAUCUCCCUUCUAUUCAGAGUGGCUGUCAAUCUUGGCCUUCUUCUCAGUGCCCUUUCUCUCCACCCCCAUUAAAACAUACCUUUUACAGCACUUUAGCACAGGCAAUGCUACAGGAAAAAGGUUUUAAUGCUGCUGGGAGUGGGACAGGCAAGAGAGGGAGAAGUCUGCCACUCUACCCUUUUCUGGCAGUAAGGGCACUAACUACCCUAGGAAGGAGUCAGGGCACUAGACAGAAAUGACUCCUUGAAUUUGCUGAGUUAUGAUCCCUAUUCUGAUAUUAAGAGAUUAGGUUUAAACAAAGUGGAGCUAUACAUUUGUUCUUAACCUAGGAGACAUUCUUCAAGACAGUUUUGAAAAGGAAUCUGGAAGUAACUUACUAGGAUUGAAGGGCAAAAAAACUCCACCUGAACUAUUGAUGACCCUUCCUAAGGGCAGAGAUGGCUAUAGCACUAGCUAUACCUCUACCAAAGCAAAGCUAGAAUUACAGAUAAUUCAUGGACUUUUGAAAAUAACAUUUUUGACUAUAUUGAGAAUAAACUUAAUUCAUGCUGGUUUUAAUAAAUUUUUGAUAUAAUUGUUUUUUUCCUUCCUAUCUCCAAAAGAAUACAUUUUGUCAGCCUUAUUUGUCUAGACUAGGUAAAGGGAAUCAUUUUUGUGGUGCUCUUGGAGGAUUUCAGAUCUGUGCACAUGUUCACUAGCAGGUAAUAUGCUUUGACUGUGAUGUCAGCUAUAAUGAACUUGUAGAUGCUAUGAACCAUUCUGGGCUCAGGAUCUAGUUUUCCUUCUCUUAUUCCCAGAACAUUUUUAUUACCUCUUCACCUCCUAAUGUAUGAUACUUCAUUUUAUAUUUAAACAUGUAGACUAUCUAAUAUCACUUGAAUUCAUUAUUACUAAACCUUAGACUUGGGAUAUGCUAGUUCCUGGUCUUCAUUGCCAUUUCUAUGCAAAGUUCUUAGGGGCCAGAAUGACAUUGAGUACCAGG
rnacentral:lncRNA from 1 species